CUGCGAAUACCGGCGGGAACUAAACAAAAAAUCGCUAUAAACCCUACUCUCUCUGUCUCUCUCUCUCUCAUCAGUCACGCCAACACUACACCUCUUGACGCGAUGCCUUCUUUUCCUCAGCCAGGCACGGUCACCAUUUGCGAAAUCAACAGGGAACUAGUUACGGCAGACCACCUGGGAGAUGAUCAAGCCAAUGAUACCUACUCUAAAAUACUCGGGAAUAUAUUCAGUCCGAUCCAAUUCGAAUCAGAGAGUUUGUUGGGGGUGGGGACUGAGCAGGAAACGGUUGAACGGAGGAAGGGUAAUUCGGUACUAGAGGCUCUGUUCAGUGGCUCCCUCAGGCCUCUUUUGCAGCCUGCCGAUGUAAACCUCUUAAAUGGCAUUGAUCUUCACAGUGUAAGUUGGCACAACCACAAACAGAUUUUAGCAUUUGUUUCUUCACAUCAUCAGGUGAUGAUCUGUGACUACAAUGAUUCUGAUGGAAAGGUUCCUUGCGUCUUGUCCCAUGAAUCCCAAAAGGAUGUAAAAAUUCUUGAGUGGAGACCAAAUGGAGGGAAAACCCUUUCUGUUGCAUGCAAGGGUGGAAUUUGCAUUUGGGCUGCUUCUUCUCCCGGUAAUGUUCCAUCUGUAAGAUCUGGGGUGACUUCGAACCCACUUUCAAGGGGCUCUGUGACACGAUGGACUCUGGUAGAUUUCCUUCAGAGUUCUGAUUCUGAACAGAUUACUGCACUUUCAUGGAGUCCUGAUGGAAGAUAUUUAGCUUCAGCUUCAUAUGAGAGUUCAUCGUUCACCAUUUGGGAUGUUUCACUAGGUCUGGGCACUCCUAUUCGAAGGGGCCUAGGAGGCAUAUCAUUGUUAAAGUGGUCUCCAUCAGGAGAUUAUUUCUUUUCUGCAAAAUUUGAUGGAACAUUUUAUCUCUGGGAGACAAACACAUGGACAUCGGAACCAUGGUCCUCAAAGAAUGGGUUUGUCACGGGAGCAACAUGGGAUCCAGAUGGCUGUAUGGUACUUCUUUCUUUCUCAGAAUCCGCAUCAUUAGGUUCCAUUCACUUUACAUCCAAACCUCCGUCCCUAGAUGCACAUCUUAUACCAGUUGAAUUGCCAGAGAUAAAAUUAUUGACCGACAGCCAGGUCAUUGAGAAGAUAGCAUGGGAUGCUUCAGGAGAGAGAUUGGCGGUGUCAUAUAAAGAUGGUGAUGAGCAAUACAUCGGGCUUGUUGCGGUAUUUGAUGUUAAAAGAACUCCCUUAAUUUCAACAUCGUUGGUUGGGUUCAUCCGAGGUCCUGGGGACAAUCCAAAGCCAGUGGCAUUUUCAUUCUACGACAAAUUUAAACAAGGACCAUUGUUUUCUGUGUGCUGGAGCAGUGGAUUUUGCUGCACCUACCCUCUUAUAUUCCGUUCAAAUAAUCUACCAUAGUUGAGAGAUGAACCCAAGAAGUCAAAAUGUAAAUUACCAGAACUUAGUGGCUGUGACCAAGCAAAAAUAUGGUUAUGCAGAGAUUGCAUGCAGCGGUCUUGUCAGUUCAUCACCAAGGAACUGAAGUGAACAAUCUAUGAACUUGAUGGGACUUUUCGGAGAGAUGCUAUAUUUUCUGUGACACUGUUAAUUAAAAAAUACACCCAUUUAAGGGUACUAAGUUUUGUUGUAAACUGAUGUGAUCAACUACGUUCUGAAUUUGUGUAAAACUAAGUUCUUAUUGCAAGUCCCCUUUCAUGCGCUUUAAUACAA